rnacentral:rRNA from 1 species
CCUACGGGGGGCAGCAGUGGGGGAUAUUGCACAAUGGGGGAAACCCUGAUGCAGCGACGCCGCGUGGGUGAAGGAGUAUCUCGGUAUGUAAAGCUCUAUCGGCAGGGAAGAAGCAAGACGGUACCUGACUAAGAAGCCCCGGCUAACUAGGUGCCAGCAGCCGCGGUAAUACGUAGGGGCCGAGCGUUAUCCGGAUUCACUGGGUGUAACGGGAGCGUAGACGGCCAUGCAAGUCAGGGGUGAAAGCUCGGGGCCCAACCCCGGGAUUGCCGUUGAAACUGCAUGGCUGGAGUGCGGGAGGGGUAGGCGGAAUUCCUGGUGUAGCGGUGAAAUGCGUAGAUAUCAGGAGGAACACCGGCGGCGAAGGCGGCCUGCUGGACCGCGACUGACGUUGAGGCUCGAAAGCGUGGGGAGCGAACAGGAUUAGAUACCCUUGUAGUC